ACGAACGCUGGCGGCGUGCUUAACACAUGCAAGUCGAACGGUGAUGCCCAGCUUGCUGGGCGGAUCAGUGGCGAACGGGUGAGUAACACGUGAGUAACCUGCCCCAGACUCCGGGAUAAGCCUUGGAAACGAGGUCUAAUACUGGAUACGAGAUGCCCCUGCAUGGGGAGUGUCUGGAAAGAUUUAUCGGUCUGGGAUGGACUCGCGGCCUAUCAGCUUGUUGGUGGGGUAAUGGCCUACCAAGGCGACGACGGGUAGCCGGCCUGAGAGGGCGACCGGCCACACUGGGACUGAGACACGGCCCAGACUCCUACGGGAGGCAGCAGUGGGGAAUAUUGCACAAUGGGCGAAAGCCUGAUGCAGCGACGCCGCGUGAGGGAUGAAGGCCUUCGGGUUGUAAACCUCUUUCAGCAGGGAAGAAGCGCAAGUGACGGUACCUGCAGAAGAAGCGCCGGCUAACUACGU
rnacentral:rRNA from 1 species